CCUCCGCUCUCCCCGCACAGGAGGGCGGAUCGAGGACCGUGGCGCUCUCUGCCCUGACCGCGUCCCGGACCUCAGUCGGCCUCACCGGCCGCGGGGCCCGCACACCUCGCGCCACCGGUCGGCCGAUGUCUGCUCCGGGCUGCGGUGCCGGUCGGGUUGAGGGUCCCGUCCUGGCGC
rnacentral:ncRNA from 1 species